rnacentral:rRNA from 1 species
UACGAAGGGUGCAAGCGUUGCUCGGAAUUAUUGGGCGUAAAGGGUAGGUAGGUGGUGACAUUUGUCUGGGGUGAAAUCCCUGAGCUCAACUCAGGACGUGCCUUGGAAACGGUGUCACUAGAGUGCUAGAGAGGUUCGUAGAAUUCCCGGUGUAGCGGUGAAAUGCGUAGAGAUCGGGAGGAAUACCAGAGGCGAAGGCGGCGAACUGGAUAGCAACUGACACUCAACUACGAAAGCGUGGGGAGCAAACAGG